CAUACGUCUAAUUGUUUCCCAUCCUCAGACCAAUCCUAUACCCUCAAUUCGGUUUCCAUCGCAUGGCCGAGAAGCUCUCCCUCGCUUCCCACUCCCACACACCCAUUAAUCAUGGAAGGAAGGUGCCAACUAACCCGUUAAUCAUGCACCCACGAUUAGUGGGGAAAUCAAAACAAAUCCCCAAUUGUUCGCUUCCCUGUCAUUCUGGCCAUGCCCAUCUCCAUCUCCAUACUUCCACGACAUGCACUACUCAGGGAUUAAGCAGUGAUUCAGCGUUCACAUCAGCAAGAGGUGGUUGUAGCAGCUCGCAUCCUCCGCAAAGGCAGCCGCUGUGACCACUCCGGCAAGCGGCAGAUCCAAUCUGAUAAAUUGCUAUAUGCGCUCCUCCACCGUUGCCUCCACCACCGGUUCAACGAGGCUGCACAUUUGUCACCGUCUUACUUCCUCCACGACUCAGAUGCUUCAGACUGUCAGGGAAUACAACAUCAAGGACGACAUGGCAAAUAAGAUCGAGGGGCUUGGGCAGGGGCACCCCAGCUUCUACCCGCCCGCGUCGUGGAUCCCGCCUUCAAUCACGAUGCCUAGGUCACAUUUGAAUUAGCGAAAUUCUAUGUAUGGAAGCAAAUUGACUUUACUUGGCAGUAGAACUUUCUCUCUCUUUGUAAACUAACCAAGAAUUCGUAUGAACCAUGUGUAAUCCUCUAGUCCAUGGAGACAAAAUAUGUUUCUCUUUAAUGGAAGCAAAACAACAUUUUAUUGCGAGCAA